rnacentral:rRNA from 1 species
AUACGUAGGGUGCAAGCGUUAAUCGGAAUUACUGGGCGUAAAGCGUGCGCAGGCGGUUUUGUAAGGCAGUGGUGAAAUCCCCGGGCUCAACCUGGGAACUGCCAUUGUGACUGCAAGGCUGGAGUGCGGCAGAGGGGGAUGGAAUUUCCCGUGUAGCAGUGAAAUGCGUAGAUAUGCGGAGGAACACCGAUGGCGAAGGCAAUCCCCUGGGCCUGCACUGACGCUCAUGCACGAAAGCGUGGGGAGCAAACAGGAUUAGAUACCCUGGUAGUCCACGCCCUAAACGAUGUCAACUGGUUGUUGGGGAUUUAUUUUCUCAGUAACGAAGCUAACGCGUGAAGUUGACCGCCUGGGGAGUACGGCCGCAAGGUUAAAACUCAAAUGAAUUGACGGGG